rnacentral:rRNA from 1 species
UCAAGAAUAUUCCUCAAUGGCCGAAAGGCUGAAGGAGCGACGCCGCGUGUAGGAUUAAGCCCUUCGGGGUGUAAACUACUUUUACAAGGGAAGAAGUUACGCUUUUUUGGCGUGAUUGACGGUACCUUGCGAAUAAGGGGUUGCUAACUCUGUGCCAGCAGCAGCGGUGAUACAGAGACCUCAAGCGUUAUCCGGAUUUAUUGGGCGUAAAGAGCACGCAGACGGUUGAUUGCAUCUUUUGUUAAAUCUCAUUGCUCAACAAUGAGGCCGCGGGAGACAUGGGUCAACUAGAGGUUGGGAGAGGCAAGCGGAAUUGUCGGUGUAGGGGUUAAAUCCGUUAAUAUCGACAGGAACACUCAAAGCGAAGGCAACUUGCUAGAACAAUCCUGACGUUCAGGUGCGAAAGCGUGGGGAGCAAAUAGG